rnacentral:rRNA from 1 species
GUCCACGCCCUAAACGAUGCGAACUGGACGUUGGGAGCAAUCAGGCUCUCAGUGUCGAAGCUAACGCGUUAAGUUCGCCGCCUGGGGAGUACGGUCGCAAGACUGAAACUCAAAGGAAUUGACGGGGGCCCGCACAAGCGGUGGAGUAUGUGGUUUAAUUCGAUGCAACGCGCAGAACCUUACCUGGCCUUGACAUCCACGGAAUCUUUGAGAGAUCAGAGAGUGCCUUCGGGAACCGUGAGACAGGUGCUGCAUGGCUGUCGU